AGAAAUCCACAAUUGGGAGAAACUGGGGGUCAUCAACCGACUAGGCAAUCCACUAAGUAGAAAAAGAUUAUUGAAGGAACACAAGCAAGCUCAAGAAAAACCUAGAUCUAUUUAGGAAGAUGAGCUAUACCUCAUUUGUGUAAUCUUCUUAUCCAACUUAGCAAAGCUUGAAGCUCAGUUCUUCAUGGAAGUGACAGCUCCUUCUCCA
rnacentral:lncRNA from 1 species